UUCCCUCUCAGGUCCCCUCCGGGCUCCAUCCUUGGCAUGAGGCUCAGGGGGCUCAGCCUGGGGGUGGCCUCGUGCUCUUCCUUCACCCAGGGACCCUUCCAUGAGCCCCCAUGAGCCCUCAAACACCCCCAGGCCUGAUGGGCUUCAUCCUCUGGAUUCACCCACUUCAUCCCACCUUGAUCCCAGCUUGGUCCCAGCUCUAUCCCACCUUCAUCCCACCUUUUCAUCCCAACUUCAGCCUACCUUCAUCCCACCUCCUGUCUAUACUCAGCAUUCCUUCAUCCCACCUUGAUCCCACCUCCAACCCACCUUCAUCCGCCCUUCAGCUGACCUCCACCUCAUCCUAAAUUCUCUCCCCACUUUCUCUUCCCUGCCAGUGACACCACGAAUGUGACAAAUUCAUUGGACGAGUUCAUGUGCCUCUGCAUCAACAACACUAAAGAAAAUGCAACACACUGGUAUCGUGAUGUCGGAGAGAACUUAGUGGUUGUGGAACAUGAUGAAUGCUAUUAUUAUCAAACCAAAUUUCAAAGCUGUGUUAAUGUCUACAAGGACAGCAACAUGCUCUGCAUCUGCAUGUCGGUGACAGUGGAUGGUGGGACCUACCAUGUACAUAGUGAUGGAAAAACAUCCACCUUCGAAGUCGAGAAAUCCAUGAAGCUGAAAGAGCUCACGUCGACCUGCAAGGCCCAGAACUGCUCACACGAGUCCUGCAAGUGCGGCCUGACCUCCUCCUCCGCCCUGGCUAAGCUGAAACGGCUGAACUGCAUGACACCGAACUCCGUCAAAAGUGAGAGCAUCACUGUCACCACCCCCAGGGUUGUCACCACCCCUGGCAUUGUCACCACCCCCAGGGUGCUCCCCAACGGUGAGAGCUGGGGACAGAAGGAGGAAAGGUGGGGUGGGCUGAUGCCGCUCCUCUGAGGAACAUGGGAAUGUUGAGGUUGGGNUCCAAGGCCAGGCUGGACAGGGCUUGGAGCAGCCUGGGCUGGUGGGAGCUUUAAGGCCCCUUCCCACCCAAACCAUUCCAGGAUUUGGGCUCAGCCUUGCUCCUCAGGGAUGCCCUGGAGGCCCCAAUCCAUUGCCUGUGUCCCAGAGGUGGCUGAGGCUGAGGGAGCCAGAAAUCCCAAGCCCAAUCUGGAAAUGGAGCCAGGACCAGUUCCCUGUUGGGAAAACUGGGAUGGAGAACUCUAUUCCCGGUAUAAAUGGAAUGACAUGGUUAAUUUGAGAUGGGAAGUUGUGAAAAUAACAAAAACAACUCCUUCCUCCUUAAAUUGGUGAGCCAAGGGCAUGGUGUGGUCGCUGGAGGGAAGGGAUGAGAUCCUGGACCUUAUCCUGGGCUGCAUCCAAAGGAGGGUAGGAGGGUUCUCAUCUCUGGAAUGGUGAGAGUCCACCUGGAAUGGUGAGAUCCCAUCUGGAAUGAUGGGAAUCCACCUGGAAUGGUGAGAUCCCACCAUGACAUUCUCUGGGAUAACUCUCUCCAACCCCUGAGCCAUUUGUCACACACGGCCACGGUGACACUCUUGGUCCCACCCUCAUCUUUCCUUGGGAACGGGGUUGGGCUCUGUUUUAAACACCUCAAAUUUUCCUUCUUUUUCCUUGAAAACAGAGUGGGUUUUUUUUUAACGCCUCAAAUUUACGUUUGAGUGUAAAUUGCUCCUCCUUGAUGCUGCAUUUUUGUCACAAACCACGUCUAAAGCCACUUCCCCUCCACCCAGGCACUGGAAAACCACCCAGGUGCUCUUCCUCUUUGUGGUGCUCAUUUUUGGGGGCUGCUGCCCCAAAUCCUCUCUGUUUCUGGACAUCCAUGGACAUAGUUUGGAUUGCUCGUCUCACCAUCCUCAUCCUCCUCCACCAAACCAGUGAGUGCCGGGUGUUCCUUGUCCCAUGGGGAUGAGAUUUUGGGGUGGUUUUGUGGUUUUUGGGGUCGAGGGCUACUUGGUUUUUGUUGUGAUGUAGGAUUAGGAGAAAGAUAAAACAAGUUCAGAAGGGUAUAAAGAAAAAUUUAUCAGCAGUAGCUAAAAGAAAGAGUAAUAAAAAUCAGAACAAAACUUUUGGAACA
rnacentral:lncRNA from 1 species